rnacentral:misc_RNA from 1 species
AUAUAUCAACCUUCUUUGGUUGGAUGUGGGUUUGCUGGCCUCCCCGAGGUCAGCUCCCCUUAAAUGCAUUAGCGGACAACAUUUUGCCAACUGUUCAUUGGUGUGAUAAUUAUCUACGCUAUUGACGUGAAGCAAUGUUCAGCUUCUAACAGUCCAUUGACUUGGACAAAUUUACUUUUAUUA